rnacentral:misc_RNA from 1 species
GAAACGGGCGAGCAGGUUUUCUGACCAAAGAUUUUAUGAGGAUUUCAAAGCUGCAAUUCGACUAAUACUAAACCAUGAUUCUAGAUGACGAACUAGCAAUUGGAACUAAUGUAACACUUGUAAAUGUAGAGCAGAGUUUUUUUUUUAUAAAAUAAAAAAAUAAAUAAUAAUAAACGUAUAGUGUUAGAUUUGUGUAUUUAUAAUUUAAUUUUUAAGUUUGAAUAUCAGUUAAAAUUAAAUAAAUAAUAAACUCAAUUCAAUUAAGUCUUUAUCUCAAAAA